rnacentral:rRNA from 1 species
AUUGAACGCUGGCGGCAUGCUUUACACAUGCCAGUCGAACGGCAGCGCGGGCUUCGGCCUGGCGGCGAGUGGCGAACGGGUGAGUAAUGCAUCGGAACGUGCCCAGUAGUGGGGGAUAGCCCGGCGAAAGCCGGAUUAAUACCGCAUACGACCUGAGGGUGAAAGCGGGGGACCGAAAGGCCUCGCGCUAUUGGAGCGGCCGAUGUCGGAUUAGCUAGUUGGUGGGGUAAAGGCUUACCAAGGCGACGAUCCGUAGCUGGUCUGAGAGGACGACCAGCCACACUGGGACUGAGACACGGCCCAAACUCCUACGGGAGGCAGCAGUGGGGAAUUUUGGACAAUGGGGGCAACCCUGAUCCAGCCAUGCCGCGUGCGGGAAGAAGGCCUUCGGGUUGUAAACCGCUUUUGUUCGGGAAGAAAUCCUCUGGGCUAAUACCCCGGGGGGAUGACGGUACCGGAAGAAUAAGCACCGGCUAACUACGUG